AUUGAACGCUGGCGGCAGGCCUAACACAUGCAAGUCGAGCGGUAACAGGAGAAGCUUGCUUCUUGCUGACGAGCGGCGGACGGGUGAGUAACGCGUGGGAAUCUGUCCAUUGGUGGGGGAUAACUUAUGGAAACGUAAGCUAAUACCGCAUGAUACCUGAGGGUGAAAGGGUGCCUCUUCUUGAAAGCACUCGCCGAUGGGUGAGCCCGCGUCGGAUUAGCUAGUUGGUGGGGUAAAGGCCUACCAAGGCGACGAUCCGUAGCUGGUCUUAGAGGAUGGCCAGCCACACUGGGACUGAGACACGGCCCUG
rnacentral:rRNA from 1 species